UAAUAAAAAUUAAAUGGAUUUGCAUUAAUGCAACUUAAAAUUUGAAUAUUGUGAAAAGGUUCAAUAUUCUAGGCUUAAAGUGUCACACUCUAGUCAGCUAAUUAAUCCAUACCACCUGAGCAAAGGGUGCCUCAAAAUUGUGAGUUUGUGGUUUCAUAAACUGUAAGCCAUAAUCAUUCAAAUUAUAACAAAUAAAGGCUUGAAAUAUCUCGCUUUGCAUGUAAUGAGUCUAUCUCAUAUGUUAGUUUCACCUUUUAAGUUGCAUUA